CCACACGGGUUUUAUAACAACACAAUCACAUUUAAUACCAAUAAACUGUGACACCAGAUUACUCGUCUAACU